GACAGAGGGGCAAGCGUUGUCCGGACUGACUGGGCGUAAAGUGUGCGCAGGCGGCUUCGCAAGUCGAGUGUGAAAUCCCCGAGCUUAACUUGGAAUUGCGCUCGAACUACGGAGCUGGAGUGUGGCAGAGGAAGGUGGAAUUCCACGUGAGCGGUGAAAUGCGUAGAGAUGUGGAGGAACACCGAUGGCGAAGGCAGCCUUCGUGGCCAACACUGACGCUCAUGCACG
rnacentral:rRNA from 1 species